ACAAGUCCUGGAGCAAAUGUUUUACAGGCUUGUGAAGCCUCAACGAGGGAAGAUUGACUCUACUCUCAAUGAAAGGUUUACAUCAGGGGAAAGUUUACAUCAGGGGAAGGUUUAUACAUCAGAGGAAGGCUUGCAUCAGAGGGAAGGUUUAUACAUCAGAGGAAGGCUUAUAUCAGGAAAAGGUUUAUACAUCAGGGGAAGGUUUAUAUAUCAGGGGAAGGUUUAUACAUCAAGGAAAGGCUUUUAUCAGGGGAAGGUUUAUAUAUCAUUGGAAGGUUUACACAUCAGAGGAAGGCUUAUAUCAGGGGAAGGUUUAUACAUCAUGGCAAGGCUUAUAUCAGGGGAAGGUUUAAACAUAAGAGAAAGGCUUAUAUAAGGGGAAGGUUUAUACAUCAGGGGAAGGCUUACAUAAGAGGAAACCUUACAUCAGAAGGUUCACAUCAGGGGAAGGAUUACACCCAAGGAAGGCUUACAUAGUGGGAAGGUUUAAGUCAAGUGAAGGUUCACAUCAGGGGAAGGAUUGCAUCAGGGGAAGGCUAACACCAGGGGAAGACUAACAUCAGGAGAUGGUUCACAUCAGGAGAAGACUAACAUCAGGAGAUGGUUCGCAUCAGGGGAAGACUAAUAUCAUGGGAAGGUUC